UACGUAGGGCGCAAGCGUUGUCCGGAAUUAUUGGGCGUAAGAGCUCGUAGGCGGUUUGUCGCGUCUGCUGUGAAAACCUAAGGCUCAACCUUGGGCUUGCAGUGGGUACGGGCAGACUAGAGUGCGGUAGGGGUGACUGGAAUUCCUGGUGUAGCGGUGGAAUGCGCAGAUAUCAGGAGGAACACCGGUGGCGAAGGCGGCUAACUGGUCCAGAUCUG
rnacentral:rRNA from 1 species